GGUCAAGUUAUUAAGGGUGCAGGGCGGAUGCCUUGGCACUAGGAGCCGAUGAAGGACGUGAUAAGCUGCGAUAAGCUUCGGGGAGUUGCACGUAAACUUUGAUCCGAAGAUUUCCGAAUGAGGAAACUCACUUAGAGUAAUGUCUAAGUAUCAUUAAGUGAAUACAUAGCUUAAUGAGGGGAACUCAGGGAACUGAAACAUCUAAGUACCUGAAGGAAGAGAAAGAAAUUCGAUUCCGUAAGUAGCGGCGAGCGAACGCGGAUUAGCCCAAACCAAUAAAGUUUUCUUUGUUGGGGUUGCGGACAUAUCAUAACGAAGAGGUAUCGUAAUUGAAGAGGUUUGGAAAGACCCACCACAGAAGGUAAUAGUCCUGUAUGUUAAACGAGAAGACUUUAGAUAUGAUCCAGAGUACCACGGGACACGUGAAACCCUGUGGGAAGCAGGAGGGACCACCCUCCAAGGCUAAAUACUACCUAGUGACCGAUAGCGUAUAGUACCGUGAGGGAAAGGUGAAAAGAACCCCGGGAGGGGAGUGAAAUAGAACCUGAAACCCUGCACUUACAAGCUGUGGAAGCACAUUUCUUGUGUGACCGCGUACUUUUUGUAGAACGGGCCAACGAGUUACGUUAAGUAGCAAGGUUAAGCACUUAAGGUGCGGAGCCGUAGCGAAAGCGAGUUUUAACUGAGCGUUCAGUUACUUGACGUAGACCCGAAACCGGGCGACCUACCCAUGAGCAGGAUGAAGCGAAAGUAAAAUUUCGUGGAGGUCCGAACCCACGAGCGUUGAAAAGCUCGGGGAUGACUUGUGGGUAGCGGUGAAAUUCCAAUCGAGCCCGGAGAUAGCUGGUUCUCCCCGAAAUAGCUUUAGGGCUAGCCUCAAGGUGAGAGAUACGGAGGUAGAGCACUGAAUGUCCUAGGGGGUAUUGCACCUACCGAAGACUAUCAAACUCCGAAUGCCGUCAUCUUAUACUUGGGAGUCAGACUGUGGGUGAUAAGAUUCAUAGUCGAAAGGGCAACAGCCCAGAUCGUCAGCUAAGGUCCCUAAAUGUAAGUUAAGUGGUAAAGGAUGUGGGAUUGCACAGACAACCAGGAUGUUGGCUUAGAAGCAGCCACUCAUUCAAAGAGUGCGUAAUAGCUCACUGGUCGAGUGAUCCUGCGCCGAAGAUUUCCGGGGCUAAAACUUACUACCGAAGCUACGGCAUCAGUAAUGAUGGGUAGGGGAGCUUCCCAUACGGGUUGAAGCAUGACCGUAAGGACAUGUGGACAGUAUGGGAGUGAGAAUGUUGGCAUGAGUAGCGAGAUGUGGGUGAGAAUCCCACAGGCCGUAAACCCAAGGUUUCCAGGGGAAGGUUCGUCCGCCCUGGGUUAGUCGGGACCUAAGCUGAGGCCGAAAGGCGUAGGUGAUGGACAACAGGUUGAUAUUCCUGUACUACCGAUAACCGUUUGAGAGAAGGGAUGACACAGUAGGAUAAGCUAAGCACACUGUUGGUUAUGUGUGCCCAAG
rnacentral:rRNA from 1 species